GAGUUUGAUCAUGGCUCAGAUUGAACGCUGGCGGCAGGCCUAACACAUGCAAGUCGAGCGUGAAAGCCUUCGGGUGAGUAAAGCGGCGGACGGGUGAGUAACGCGUGGGAAUCUGCCCGGUAGCGGGGGACAACAGUCGGAAACGACUGCUAAUACCGCAUACGCCCUGAGGGGGAAAGCAGGGGAUCUUCGGACCUUGCACUAUCGGAUGAGCCCGCGUCAGAUUAGCUGGUUGGUAGGGUAAUGGCCUACCAAGGCGACGAUCUGUAACUGGUCUGAGAGGAUGAUCAGUCACACUGGAACUGAGACACGGUCCAGUCUCCUACGGGAGGCAGCAGUGGGGAAUAUUGCACAAUGGGGGAAACCCUGAUGCAGCCAUGCCGCGUGUGUGAAGAAGGCCUUCGGGUUGUAAAGCACUUUAAGCAGUGAGGAAGGGUUGAACGCUAAUAUCGUUCAACAUUGACGUUAGCUGCAGAAUAAGCACCGGCUAACUCCGUGCCAGCAGCCGCGGUAAUACGGAGGGUGCGAGCGUUAAUCGGAAUUACUGGGCGUAAAGCGCGCGUAGGCGGUAAUCCAAGCUGGGUGUGAAAGCCCCGGGCUCAACCUGGGAAUUGCAUUCAGAACUGGGAU
rnacentral:rRNA from 1 species